GUGAGAUUGGCGGAAACGAUCAGUUCGAAGUGCGUGUCUCGCGGUUUAGGACGUGGUUUAUUCGGGUCCCGGUUUUUCAUUGAGGAGAGAUUGUUCGUCGGACUUUAUUGGCGUCCCAACAUGAGGAAAACGAAAGGAUCAAGGAGGAACACAAAUAUGGAAGAGUCUUCCUGUUCAAAAGAAAUCAAUGUGAGCCGAUCAUCACCAACGGCUGCACGAGAGAAAGCCACUCCUUGGAAGCAUAUGAAGCACAAGUUUCCAAGACAUGAAAGGAAGGGCAAUGGUUGUGGUGACGUUGGUCAUAACAUGGAAGGAAAGAUGAGUGAGUCUUCCCAUUCAGAAGACAUCGGUGUGAAUCAGUCAUCCACAUCAAUUAAUCCAAACAGAGCACCACUUUGGAAACGUCUGAAGUUUUUGUUCAGGAGACACAAAAAGAAGAAGGCUUGCAGUGACUCUGGAUGCAUCAUGGAAGGAAAUAUGAAUGAGUCUUCCCAUUCAGAAGACAUCUUUGUGGAUCAGUCAUCCACAUCAACGAAUCCAAAAAAAGCAUCUGUUUCGAUACGUCUGAAGAGACACGAAAAGAAGGAGAAGACUUGCAGUGAUGAUGAAUAUAUCACCUCCCGCCCAGCGUUCUGACAGAGUCAGUCAACGAGACGUGUCAACAACCCAUUGGCGGAGAAUUGCUGCAAACUCGAAGGAUGGACCAAUCACAUAUCCCCGGGGGCGGUACAGAAGAGCGAGCCCCUAGAAGGCAAGCGAGAAACUGCUUGUGUAGACUCUGCGAUCAGCUUCGAGAGAAAGACCCGCCCCGAAAGGAACUGGCUGCUUUGUCAGUUUGGGAACGGCUUGUGUGAGUCUGCGAUCGGCUUUCGUGAGAAGAGCGAGCACCAAUAAGGCAAGGGAGAAACUGCUAGUGUCGAGUCUGCGAUCUGCUUCGAGAGGAACUGCAGUGUCGGUCGGCGAUCUGCUUUGUGAAGAGUGGUUUGGCCGGCUGUUCCUCUUCGGCCAUGGACCCAGCAUGCAGGUGAUUCCCAGUUUCAUCCUGAGUCCAGUCACAGAGCCUCUGACUGUCCUGACUCCAUGCACGGCUCGACAAGUCUUUCCAUCCCAUCGGAUUCGCCUGCGGAGCCCAACACCGGGAUUGACCUCGUCUGGUGUGCUGGCCAGGCCUGGAUUCGCAUACUGGACCUUGUGAGAAACCAGCUGGAACCCACCAUAGAUCUUCCUCUCCUGUAAAGUCGACCUUACGGGGGCUGGACGCACGGAGGCUGGUGUGUGGGCGGUGCCGACGAAAAGGAGGCCGUCGCUGCCAUCUUGCCAUGUGGCGUGCAUGGGCGGUGCCGACGAAAAGGAGGCAGUCGCCGCCAUCUUGUCACGCUUGCAUGCUCGAACUUGGGGGUUCGAAUCCGUUGACAUCGGCUUCUCACGAGCCGCAUUCGUGCCUUCGACACUUUUCCUCUCGUCCAUGAGGCACUACCAAGUACUCCGUGUCUUGUCUGCAUGUUGUCUAAGGUUUAUUUCGCUAGGGCCCCCUUCGAAACCCGAAUCAGUAUCUUCCUAGUGAAGAGCGGGUUAUAGAUGAAUGAUAAUGUUUGUGAAUGCUUUGCUUGUGUCGUGUUCCCCGACGUGUCCCCAAUAAAUCUGGCUGAGUUGUACAAAAGUUGCCGCCUUGAGUUUAUUCAUGCC
rnacentral:lncRNA from 1 species